rnacentral:hammerhead_ribozyme from 1 species
AUCCAGCCGAUGAGUCCCAAAUAGGACGAAAUGCGCAUCCUGGAU